rnacentral:lncRNA from 1 species
CCCUUAUAUACACUGAGGGUGGCUGGUUUAUAUUUAUUUAACAUAACUCUACUAUAAGCACAUGGCACAUCCACUGUUUGUGCAGCAGGUUUCCUCAGUAUUUAGGUAAAGUCCAAAUCCUAAAACAAAAAAGGGAAUUAAGCAGUGCCAGAAAAGCUCUGCUAGCCCUGUUGUUACCAAGUUGCCCUGACUCUACAUCAGCCCUCAGCAAAACUGCCCACUGAAAUAAGUGAUUGGAAACGGUUGGGGUUCCUGAAGGAAACCUGGCAGCAAUGGUCAGAUUUUUUUUAAAUAUAUUUUUAUUACUUUUUUCCAUUUGUCUUAGAAAGAAAUAUGAAAUCUGCAUGCAACCUUCUAAGUAUCUCAAACAUUUAAAUAGCAUAUGAUAAUUUAGCAGUACAGUACAUUAUACAGAAAGAUAGGAUAGGGAGACUUCCUAUAGUGUAUUUACAAAUGAAAAGGUAGUUUUGUUAUUCUUAAAAAGAGGAAUGCUUUGCUUAACAUUGAAGUAUUACAUUCAAAAUAAUGAAUAUGUUGUAUUGUGACUAAAACAUAGGUAUUUAUAUGUUUGCCCUACCGUAUUUUUCAUAAAAAGUUGCCUUUUAAAGGCUUUUUUUUGCUACAAAUCUAGGAAAUCGUACACAAUAGUCUUGAAGCUGGAAGUGUCUGAGUCCUGAAGCCACAAACUUUGUGGGAGAGCUUCAGGUGGAGGAAGAAAAGAAAUUAAGCAUGUUCUUAGUAACAAAAAAGACCUAGAAAUGCUCUCUAGUGUAGGAAAUGUUAGAUGGGAGGGUGGACCACUUCACCUUGCAGCAAGACCCCAGGUCUGUUAAGGAAGAGGUACAUGAGUGAUGCUUGCACUCCCUUGCUGAUGAGCCAAGGGACCUCACUUCUGCACCACAGCCACUGUGUUGGUGGCACCUCACCCAGCUCAGCUCCUGUUCUAUCCCAGCACUGCCCCAUUGGGGGCUGCCAAUGUGACCAACAGCCCUGAGGCUUCCCCAUUGCCAAAGGUUGAGGGAUGCAGCUGGAGAAUACCUUACAAACAUUGUCUAAUGAGCUUAUAAAGCUCAAUUGCGAUCAUAGUGAAGUAUGAAUGAAUAACAAUUAAAAAAAAAAGCAGGAAACAACAAAACCAAACCAACCAAACCAACCAAACCUCUUUAAAAUGCCAAACAAGAGUUGUUUUUUCCCCAGCCUUGGUACAAUGCAGGCAGGUGUGAAAUCUGAAGUGCAACAGAUGCUCAUGGAAUCUGGAAGCCUUUUGCACGUGGCUAUAAAAUGUAAAAACUGACCCUUGGUAAAAAGUGCUUUAUAAUAAUAUAGAAUUUGUGUCUUAUGUCUGUGAGAGAGAAAUCAUCUUCUGCAGAGCCCAGUCCUACGUCAGCCAAGGGAGUCCUCUCCAUUCCUCGCACCGCCGCCUCCUAUUCUUCAUAAACCCUGCCCUUCUCCUUCCAUACUCGGUACCACUUGAGCAGCCUCACUGUGUUCUGGCGUUUGGGGUUCAGGCAGUGCUGCUGCUCACCUCUCACUUUCGUCCACAGGGUCACGAUAAUCAUCUCCUCCACACAAAAUGGGUACCUCGGUUUUAUUUCCAGCUUCCGUACGUUAGAGAAUCUUAUUUUCGGCCCUUUCCUCGAGCAUUUGCACUUUACUCCUUCUGCACUGGCUAAGCACAUCGCGAUGACCAGCAGAAGCAAGGCUGCUGUCAGGAGCUUCAUGGCGAGCCGGCAGGUACCCGAGCGCGCGCAGCGGGGUUCUGUCUUGUGUUCCCGUCCUCGAGGUGGGAAGGAGCGGCUGCGGGCGGUGCUGCUGCCCGAGCUCUGCCGCGUUCCCCCCCGCUCGUCCCCUUUUAAAUGCGCUCCCGCUGCCCGUGCUGCCGCCUCAUUAACAUGCGGGGCCGCGCGGCUCCCUCCGCUCCGCAGCCCCGGGGGGAGAGGCGGGCGGCGGGGAGGGACGGGGCGGGCGGGGGGGGACGCGGCGGCCGCGGCCCCGUUGGGCUUCUGCUGGGCGGCCGCUUUGGGAAUGGGGGUCGGAGGGGGCUCACCUGGCUGCGGGAGGCACCUCCGAUUUGCGGAGAGGAGGGAAACUCGGUGAAAUGGAUGGUGAGAUUAACGCCGCGCUCCUGAGGGCGGUGUUAGGUGCCAAACUGAAGACCUGAAGGAGAAUUAUCUCAUACAACAUCAAGCAGGAUGCCCACUGCAGGGGGAGAAGCGAAUCCCAUUUCAUCCACCAGAGCAUGAGGGGAUGUUUGAAGGUAGAACCAGAAUGUGCUUUCCUCCUGGGGAUGGAGAUGCCAUUGGAACACCAGGGACCGCGUGCCCUACCCAAGCAGUGCUGAGGAUGGAAAUGGGAACUUGCCUCCUCCCUGCACAGCCCAGCCUGCCUCUGGGAGGGUCCUCACUCACCACUGCCCAUCCCUGCCCC